rnacentral:misc_RNA from 1 species
GAUGAAGAACGUAGCGAAAUGCGAUAAGUAAUGCGAAUUGCAGAAUUCAGUGAGUCAUCGAAUCUUUGAACGCACAUUGCGCCCCUUGGUAUUCCAUGGGGCAUGCCUGUUCGAGCGUCAUUUGUACCUUCAAGCUCUGCUUGGUGUUGGGUGUUUGUCUCGCCUCUGCGUGUAGACUCGCCUCAAAACAAUUGGCAGCCGGCGUAUUGAUUUCGGAGCGCAGUACAUCUCGCGCUUUGCACUCAUAACGACGACGUCCAAAAGUACAUUUUUACACUCUUGACCUCGGAUCAGGUAGGGAUACCCGCUGAACUUAAGCAUAUCAAUAAGCGGAGGA